GCGGACGUGGCGGAAUUGGUAGACGCGCUAGAUUUAGGUUCUAGUAGGAUCUUCUGUGAGAGUUCGAGUCUCUCCAUCCGCA
rnacentral:tRNA from 1 species